UCAUAAUUCUUAUCAAAGGGUUCAAGACCGCACAUAGUACGUUCGCAACACAUCAGUAAGCGAUCUGCGUGUGCGCAGGCCUGUGGUUGCGAUUCAUAGCGGAAAAUUCGUGACUGGAAAAAUAAUGAGUUAAAUAAACACGAACCGUUUCAUUGUGGUGUUGUAAAAUGUGAUAAUUCGACAAAUGUUGCUAAAUCCGUGAUAUUUUAGAAUUUACUAUGGAUUGUUUGCAUGUGAUCAACAAAUAAAUACAUUAAAAUGUGGACAUAUUCGAGCGUGGACAUCCCCGGGCAGCGGGUGACACGGACUGACAGAAUAAGGAUUUACAUCUCGGAAUGUGUAGUGUGUUUCUGCAUUCUAUUUUUUAUAGUGUGCGUUGGCCUGUUGCUGUAUUUAUUCUUCCAUUUAUAUAGUUCUCUAUCGAAUGCCCGAAAGGCUGUCGAAACUAUGAUAGAAAGUUGAGGUAUACGGCGCUGCCAAUAUGAACAAAAAAUAGCUGUCCGUAUUCUAUGUAGUAAACUAUAGGUACGCAAUUAUCAUUGUUAGUAUUGACCAAUUAAUUAAUUCAACUUGGUAAUAGCCUGUCUCGAUGCUGUGAUAAUGUCUUAUUACUAUUAAUCAUAAUUAUCUUCUUUUUUUUGUCACAAUGAAAAUAAAUUUUCCUAUGCAGCUAUGAAGCUUGGAAAACGGUAUGUCGAAUAUUUUAAUAAAAGAACAAGAGGCUCUAUAUUGUUCUUUUAAAAUACAACUCAUUUAAAAUUAAAUAUCGUAAUUUUUUCGUAAGACAAUAAAAAACAUUUAGGUGAAUUUGAUAAUGUAAUCGAGGUAAUUACUGCAUUUACAAUUGGUUUCGAUACUAAAUUUAUGACGAUUUAAAGUAUAUUAUGAACAUGAAAUAAGUUUAUAAAUAGCUAGAAGUGUGAUGUUAAAAAUAUAAUGAUGAAUUUAAUGACGUCAACUUAAACAAAAAUUUUCUUAAUUCAUUAAUUUAACAAUAUGCCAGAAUAUAUAAGAACUAAGAUAGAAUAAAAGAAAAACGUUUGAACAUAAUAAAUUAUAUCAUGGCAUUGUUUUCGCGUCAUAUUGGUAGCGCCUUAUAAAAGCAGAGUACUAAUUCUAUUCUAAAAUAUUUGAUAAGAUAUUAAUAGUUCUUUUCCUGUAUAUUCUAGUUAACGUACUGUUACAGUUGUUUAUUUUGUUCAUUAACGAGUUUUAUACUUUUCAUGUUACGUAAUCAUCGUACCUGUUUAGUUGUAUGUGUUUUAGUUUAUAACUUUAGAACGUAUCAUUUCAUAGCGAAGUAUUAUUAUAUUUAACAGUUUUAAAUGUAAAUAAUCCCAGGAAUCAUUUCACCAUAAUGUACCGAAUUGUAAACAUAAACAGAAUAAAACUUCGAAUAUUUCACAUUGGUUUAAUAUUUGAUUCAGUGGAUGUUUCAGUUAUUAAGUUCCAUGCUUCAUAUCAAAAUGCAACAUUUAAUUAAAACCUGAAUUUUAUGAAAAGCAUUACAUUACGCUGAAUACUCGUAUGUAUGUGUGUUUGCGGAUUUAAUUAAUUGACAAGGUUGUACACACAAUAUUGAACGGCAGAUUAGUCAACGUGAACAAAGAUAGUUUACUGCGUGAGCAAAUUGUAUAUUGUGUUUUUAUAUUAAUAAAAUGCAUAAUAAAUGGUAGUUCCUGAACUUUACUUAAUAUAGGUAUUAACUUAAGUCGAUUAGAUGUAUAUACAUAUGGUAUUUUUGUUAAUAAUUAAAUAGAUACUUUACAUGUA